GCUUGUAAUAAUAAGUUUGAAGUUAAAGUAUCAAUGUUAAAAGAUCGUUUAAGAAAGAAAUUUAGAAGAAAAAUUAUUGAAUUUUGAAUUUAUUGUUCGGAAUUAUUAUUGACUUGAAAAGCAUAUUUCGUCGUUUAUUGUUCAUGCAAAUCACGAUCUGGCUUACUGAAAUACGCGAAGCAGUCUAUUGUUAGUAGUGACAGGUGAAUAAGUUUCGGACAGGUUGCGCACUUGAUAUGCUACUUACGUGUAACAUCCAUUCACUUUGGAAAGAUAUAACGUACUGGUAACCAUGAACGAUACUUCAAGUCUUCUAAAGGAAAUUGGACUGAACAUAUGUGGGCAUGCAGACAAAAAGUCUUUUAACUUACUCUACAGGGCGGACACUGAGGUCAAAGUAGAUGAAUUCCAUUCCAAAUGUGAUGGGAAAGGACCAACAGUCACGAUUCUUCAUUUGAAAAACAACACGAUAUAUGGAGGAUACACAAGCGAAGAUUGGUCUUCGAUGAGGAGGAAAACAAAAGCGGAUAAACACGCAUUUUUAUUCUAUAAGAAUGAUCAUGUUGACGAAAAGUGUAAUUUCAUCCCAAUCGCAGAAAACAUGCAGAGUAAAGCUAUUACUUGUGAUCCAAAUUUUGGACCGACAUUUGGAUGGGGCCCAGUGUUUACGAAACGUUACGAUCUUCAAACAUUUAAGAAGGAUAGCAAAUCGGAGAGUGAAUGUAGGGACGGCUCCCUAAUUUUGAAUGGCGCAAUGAACAUUGGAUGUGCAUAUAAAACUCAAUCUAGAAAAGUCAGGAGGGAUAUUGUGACAAACUUGCCUGAAGAAAAAAUGACGAGAGGGAGUUUGGCGGUUCCAGAGCAAACACACGUUGCAGAUCCUUUACUCAUAAAACGUAUUGUUGUGUAUCAAGUUGUAGAAAAGCCAUGGAGGAAAUUCCCAACAGAUAAAGAAUUACAAGAAAUGAAAAAGCGUCUUGAAGAUUUCAAACCGGUACCUGGACUUGGUUUAAAAAGGUAUAACAUACUGCUUCUCGGGGCCAUUGGAUCUGGCAAGUCGAGUUUCUUUAACACCCUGGCAACCGUUUUUGCUGGCUCAGUUAAAUCACAUGCACCUGCAAGAAGCGCCAAUUGAUACGAGUGUAACUAAUGAGAUCCACGCAUAUGAACUUAAAUCUAAAAGUGGAAAGCAUUUAAACCUUCAAAUUUUCGACAUAAGAGGAUUCUCCGAAAAGAGAGGAUAUGAUGAUGAGCUUGAAUACAUUCUCAAUGGCAGAUUACCAGCUGGAUUUACUUUUCCAGACCUACCAGCACCUGUAAAGAGGAUAAAUUGAUUCAUGCAAGUUUGAAAAACGAAAUGCACUUGGUGUGCUUCAUAACGGGAACUUCGAACGUAGACGUCAUUACCAAGGAACGGCGUGUAAUAAUCAAUGACAUAAAAGUUUACCAAUGGUUGUUGUUGUAACAAAAUUUGACGAAUUCAGUGAAAAUAUAUUUGAAGAUGCAAACCAAGUUUAUAGAUGUUUCUAGGCUCAUGAUGCUAUAAAGAAAGUGUCAGACUUCUUUGAAAUACAGGAGAAGUAUAUUUUUCCAAUUGUGAAUUACAUAAAUGACGACGAAAUAAAGGAAGGCAAGGACAUGCUGACACUACAUGCUUUAGACGAAAUGGUCAGAGUGACAAAUGACUACAUAGAAAAGCAUAAAGAAAAGACGUCAAUAGUUGACAGUUGGGCAGAACGAGAGAACAAGCUACAUAUUCCGGUAAGCUGUCUAUAUUGGCUGUCAGAACAUUCAACCUUUGCUGUUCUUAGACUAUCAAUUGGUCACCUAAGUUUUAAAACGAAGCCCGUGCAUAUUUGUAUAUGUGAAAGCAAGUACAAGCAGUGAGAUGUUUUGUAGUACAUAUUUUGCUUGUGUUUCAUAAUGAAACCACGCGCUAAAUUUAAAAGCAACUGCUUUAACUUGGGUGUAUCUGUAUGUUAUUCCUUGUAUGUUACUCCAUCUCGGCCACAUUGAAUUUUUCAGUUGAUUUUACCAGAAUUUCUCUUGGAAUCAUUAUAUCAAUAUAUGUAAAUAAUAAACAUCAUAAAUGCUAAUUACAUUUAGAUACAUUAAGUACAGCUUUACGAUGUCGGUCAUAAUCAAAAAAUAAUUUAUAGCAAAAAAGUGCUUUAACACAAUCUAUGCACGAUGAGUGGUUAUACGUCGGGCGUAAUAAUUUUUAUUUGUACGACGUAUUACCACCCGAGUGUAUAAAUAGUAUUAAAACACGGUUUGCUAUAAAGUAUUUCAAUUUUAAUAUGCUUUAAAUCUAAAACAGUAGAUAAAAUAUAGAAUAUAUACAAAAACUUUGACGUCAUCGCACGUUAACGUGACGUCAUUCUAGUGUUAGCGUGUUUUAACAGAGACAAGCAUAUUAUAAUUGAUCAUAAGCUAAUCUAGAGUGAUAUUCUCUCAUUUAUCGCGAAAGUCAUAUUUCAAUACAUUUGCACUCUAGCACCUUCAAUUAUCAUCAAACA
rnacentral:misc_RNA from 1 species